UCACCGCGUGAUUUGCAAGUCAUGUAGCUCAGAAGACCCAUCAAGGGAAGAGGAUAAAAAGGCAAAAUGAAAAGAGAUUCUUUACAAGUCCAGCCAGAACAUGCGGUAUAAAGGUGCAGGAGAGCCAGGGCAUGAGAGGGAUUACACCACCAAAAAAAAAAAAAAAGAAAAAAAAAAAGGGGAAAACCUACAGAACACUCAACAGGCUUCAAAACGGCAGAUGGAUGGAUGCCAGUGGUGUAGGAGAACACCUCAGUCUGAGGUGGCUUUCAUGUGACAUGACACCGAAAGCUCGACCCCACUCCCCUCCUACCCGGCAAUGAUAGCAGCUUGAUUGGGCAGGAUUCCAUUUGCAACCUCAUCACUUUCCCGGGCUGCAACAAUGAGGCCGAUUGUUCCACUCCUACUAAUGGAGAAGGCCCAAGAAAGCCUGGCCUCUUCCCCCUGGCAGCCCACGUAUCUUUACUAUCAGAACUCCAGCUUGGGACUGGGGGCAACCUUGCUGAAAUGAAUCCCAAUCCCUUAACCCUCCUCCUGCCCCGCCCUGUCCACCUUUCCCUCUGUGCCUCUCGCUCAAUUUCAACAAGCUCGAUUUGUAGCAAAUUUGUCUCUGCGGCUCCCUUUAAUUGAAUGACUUUGGCACUAACAAGGAGCUGAUUGAGCUCAAUAACGGCAGUGUUGAAGGUAGCGGUGCCAGACCGGACGUUGGACUGGUUUCUCUACACCAUAAUAAAACUGCCAAUAUUUUGACAGAAAACACAUUUAUAUAAGUUACAGACAAAAGAUGUGAAUGUAACCUAGUUUUAAGACUUCUGCAUUGAGUUUGCACUAGACCUUGGUGAUAUGGCCAAAUAAUUAUAUUCUUGAUUUCUUAAGGAUAAUUUUUGGUUU